UCCUCGGUGGCUCGAUUGGUAAAGCAUCGGACUAGAGAUUCGAAGGUUGCAGGUUCGAGUCCCGCUCGGGGAG